rnacentral:lncRNA from 1 species
AUGCCUGGCCCAGGCCUGAUGGCUGUCACCCACCCUGUCCUCUGGUCCCCGCAACCGCGGAGUGGGACCCACAGAGGCGUCGCGGUCACACCCCACAAGGCCCCUGACGUGUGGGGCUCACCCCACGCACCUCCUCCCGCUCGGCUCCUCACACAGCCGCUCGGCAGCGUGUCACAGCGCUCUCUCCUCACACGCGCCACGUUCUGUCCUCGUUUCACACAGCGUCGUGUGCGGCUGCGCGCGGCCCGUCAGAGUUCUGCAAACCCGAGGCCGCCGGUGCGCUGCUCACGCACACACUCACACACACGCGCACACACACACACACACGGUAUCACGCGUGGUCACAGCACAGCGCCGCCCGGCGCACACAAUGGCACCCGUUGCGCUUCUGACACACACAGCGUCAAACCAUCGCAGUGUCCCUCACACCCGCGGCGCGUCGGGACCCCUCAGGACCAGACCCAGGCUCGCGCGGCUGGUCUUUCAGAAACCAUGUCCCCUGCGAUGGCCACUCACACCCAGAGACCACGCGUGCAGCUUCUGUCUCACACACACACACACACACACACACAGGAUGUCAUUCGUGGUGGCUCUGACGUAUAUACAGUAUCUGCCACACACACCGGUGUUACAAAGCCACGGGCAGUGUCACACAGUUUCUCUCCUGUGCAAGUCCAGCCUCACAUGCAGUCACACAAACUGGUUUUAGCCGGUUCUCUCACACACGCACAACCCCCCCAUGCAGUGUCACCCACGCAGCAUGUCCCACUCAGUUUGUCUCUCACACACGUCCAGCGUCACCCACGGUUGCACUCGCGUUUCCCUCUAUCACUUCCUGUCCUUUCGGGCCUGGCAGGGAGCACAGGAAACAAUCAGCACUCUAGGAAACCUCAAGGGCUGAGGCUUUGGGGACCUGCGGAGGGACAGAGAUUCUCUGGCCUCCAGCCUCCGGUGGGCCCCUUCGAGGACAGGCGAAGCCCGUUCCCCUCUCGGGUCCUCCACGGAGGGGCAGCACCUCUCCUGCAGACAAGCCCAGGCUGGCACAACACCGGGACAGAGGUGAGGGCAGGGCAAGGCCUGGAGGACAGGCCUGAGAGUGAUCUGCUGACCUCCUGCCAUGGCCCCAGGGCUGCCCCAGAAGUCCACGGGGACCUGGACCCCACGGCUUCUGCAGCCCCCACACGGGAAGAGACAGGGACCUCCUAG